rnacentral:rRNA from 1 species
UGGGGAAUAUUGCGCAAUGGGGGCAACCCUGACGCAGCAACGCCGCGUGCAGGAAGAAGGUCUUCGGAUUGUAAACUGUUGUCGCAAGGGAAGAAGGCAGUGACGGUACCUUGUGAGAAAGUCACGGCUAACUACGUGCCAGCAGCCGCGGUAAUACGUAGGUGACAAGCGUUGUCCGGAUUUACUGGGUGUAAAGGGCGCGUAGGCGGACUGUCAAGUCAGUCGUGAAAUACCGGGGCUUAACCCCGGGGCUGCGAUUGAAACUGACAGCCUUGAGUAUCGGAGAGGAAAGCGGAAUUCCUAGUGUAGCGGUGAAAUGCGUAGAUAUUAGGAGGAACACCAGUGGCGAAGGCGGCUUUCUGGACGACAACUGACGCUGAGGCGCGAAAGUGUGGGGAGCAAACAGGAUUAGAUACCCUGGUAGUCCACACCGUAAACGAUGGAUACUAGGUGUAGGAGGUAUCGACCCCUUCUGUGCCGCAGUUAACACAAUAAGUAUCCCACCUGGGGAGUACGACCGCAAGGUUGAAACUCAAAGGAAUUGACGGGGGCCCGCACAAGCAGUGGAGUAUGUGGUUUAAUUCGAAGCAACGCGAAGAACCUUACCUGGGCUUGACAUCCCUGGAAUCGAGUAGAGAUACUUGAGUGCCUUCGGGAAUCAGGUGACAGGUGGUGCAUGGUUGUCGUCAGCUCGUGUCGUGAGAUGUUGGAUUAAGUCCCGCAACGAGCGCAACCCCUAUUGUCAGUUGCCAUCAUUAAGUUGGGCACUCUGGCGAGACUGCCGGUGACAAAUCGGAGGAAGGUGGGGACGACGUCAAAUCAUCAUGCCCCUUAUGCCCAGGGCUACACACGUACUACAAUGGCCGAUAACAAAGUGCAGCGAAACCGUGAGGUGGAGCGAAUCACAAAACUCGGUCUCAGUUCAGAUUGCAGGCUGCAACUCGCCUGCAUGAAGUUGGAAUUGCUAGUAAUCGCGGAUCAGAAUGCCGCGGUGAAUACGUUCCC